GAUGAACGCUGGCGGCGUGCCUAAUACAUGCAAGUCGAGCGAACGGACGAGAAGCUUGCUUCUCUGAUGUUAGCGGCGGACGGGUGAGUAACACGUGGAUAACCUACCUAUAAGACUGGGAUAACUUCGGGAAACCGGAGCUAAUACCGGAUAAUAUUUUGAACCGCAUGGUUCAAAAGUGAAAGACGGUCUUGCUGUCACUUAUAGAUGGAUCAGCGCUGCAUUAGCUAGUUGGUAAGGUAACGGCUUACCAAGGCAACGAUGCAUAGCCGACCUGAGAGGGUGAUCGGCCACACUGGAACUGAGACACGGUCCAGACUCCUACGGGAGGCAGCAGUAGGGAAUCUUCCGCAAUGGGCGAAAGCCUGACGGAGCAACGCCGCGUGAGUGAUGAAGGUCUUCGGAUCGUAAAACUCUGUUAUUAGGGAAGAACAUAUGUGUAAGUAACUGUGCACAUCUUGACGGUACCUAAUCAGAAAGCCACGGCUAACUACGU
rnacentral:rRNA from 1 species